UCUAGUGUCCCACACUCUCUGUGUGUCUGUGAGUCUGCAUCGUUUCAGGGCCCCGCCCAGUGCAGACUCAGCCCUUCUGCAUGAAGCUGGGGCUUCACACGGACCCUCACCCUGACCCAACACCCUCCCCGAUUUGUAGGUCAUUUAACACUAGCAACAGCUCCUGCUCAAGGCAGAGCCGGCUACGCUGCGGACCCAGGGCUCUCCUCUCCUACUCCCUCACCUCUCAGGACACUGUGGAGCUCAAGAGCAUACAAGGACCAUGGAGAAAGGGGAGGCGUCUUCGGGGCUGUCUGAGAGAAACCAGCCUUCCAGAUAGGGCACCACCCAAGCAAAGGAAUGGCAAGAACACACCACUGCAUGGUCAACAGAAGACAGCGCGGAGCGUGCAAGGUACAGAGCCCAGUACUGCAGAAUGACAAUAAAUGCCUGCAUUGACUGCUAACACGUUUACGAUAGGA